rnacentral:rRNA from 1 species
UGGCGCACGGGUGAGUAACACGUGAAUAAUCUACCUCCGAGUGGGGAAUAACUGAGAGAAAUCUUAGCUAAUACCGCAUAACACUUACGAGUCAAAGCAGCAAUGCGCUUGGAGAGGAGUUCGCGGCCGAUUAGCUAGUUGGCGGGGUAAUGGCCCACCAAGACGAUGAUCGGUAUCCGGCCUGAGAGGGCGCACGGACACACUGGAACUGAAACACGGUCCAG